GCCGCGGCUGGGAACUGGUAAUCCCGCUCGCCUGCUACGCGAGCUCCGAGAGGACUCCCGGUUCGACUCCGGGCCGCGGCG
rnacentral:tRNA from 1 species